UGACAUGUGUGCGAGUCAACGGGUGAGUAAACACGCAAGGCGCAAGGAAGCUGAUUAGCGGGAUCCCCCUCGUGGGUUGCACCGCCGACCGACCUUGAUCUUCUGAGAAGGGUUCGAGUGUGAGCAUGCCUGUUG
rnacentral:ncRNA from 1 species